AGUGAACGCUGGCGGUAGGCCUAACACAUGCAAGUCGAACGGCAGCACAGUAAGAGCUUGCUCUUACGGGUGGCGAGUGGCGGACGGGUGAGGAAUACAUCGGAAUCUACUUUUUCGUGGGGGAUAACGUAGGGAAACUUACGCUAAUACCGCAUACGACCUACGGGUGAAAGCAGGGGAUCUUCGGACCUUGCGCGAUUGAAUGAGCCGAUGUCGGAUUAGCUAGUUGGCGGGGUAAAGGCCCACCAAGGCGACGAUCCGUAGCUGGUCUGAGAGGAUGAUCCGCCACACUGGAACUGAGACACGGUCCAGACCCCUACGGGAGGCAGCAGUGGGGAGUAUUGGACAAUGGGCGCAAGCCUGAUCCAGCCAUACCGCGUGGGUGAAGAAGGCCUUCUGGUUGUAAAGCCCUUUUGUUGGGAAAGAAAAGCAGCAGGUUAAUACCCCGCUGUUCUGACGGUACCCAAAGAAUAAGCACCGGCUAACUUCGUG
rnacentral:rRNA from 1 species